rnacentral:lncRNA from 1 species
UGCACUUGAUCACUUGAAGAUUCACGCAAAAAGUUCAUUUUAUGCUAAUGCUUGCGCCUGAUAUGAUUCAAGUAGAACAACAGGCAAUACGUAAUUGCUAUCACCGUUCCACAUUAUUGAAUUAGAUGAAUUUAUAGUAAAAGCUACUUGUCAAGAUGAGCUUUUUUCCAUGUACUUCCUGCAUGCUGUAUACCAAACUAUGUAAAUGCUUAUUUCAGUCGCAACGAGCUGUACUCUCUGUUAAAUGCUAGAUAAUAAUCAUCUGUCAUUUUCUUUUGCCAUCUGCAGGGGUAUCACAGAGACAUUCUUGGGCGCCUGACUCCACCUCGUGCAAGUAUACUCGUUCAUCCUCCACCUCCUGUAAUUCUUGAAACCCGGCAUACCUCACCAUUUGUUCCAACGUCAACUGUCAUAACCACUCCAAUCAAAAAGAUUCCCACGAAGCGUGGGAGAGAGAGGAAAUCCAAGCGUCAUAGAAAAGUCAUUGCUGGAAAUAGAGAUCCUAAUUUCAAUUGAAAAUUUUGAUGUGAGCACAAAUUAUUUUAUUUUCCUUCCCUGUUUUCAGUAUAUCAAAUCGCGGGGUUAGGAACUGUGAAAGAUGAAUGUUCUAGCUGUUGUUUCCACAAAAAAAAAAAAAGGUCAGUAUUCAAGUUCUUCAUAAGAUUCUUUACAAAGUGUCAAUUUUUUGUUUAAUUUUUUGUUGUAUAUAUUGGAGUCUUAGUAUGUAUUGUCAUAGCAAUUUUACACUGCAAAUUGCCUUCUCUAAUCACUAGCUUCAUGUACUGUUUCUUCUCAUAGAAAUGUUGAUUAUGAAGCAAAGAUGAAAUUCAAUUUCCUUUAUACUGAUGUCUGUUGUGUUGUGAUAAGUUUUUUUUGGUGUGUUGUUAUAAGUAAUUUUCGAGAGAAGCAAUUUGUGUUUGACAAAUCAAUUUGAAAUGUUAUUGGCCAGGGGUCUACCAGAAACAACCUCUCUAUCUGUCAAGGUAGAGAUAAAAUCUGCAUAUACUCUACUCUUUUCAGACUUCAUCUAUAAGACUAUACUAAUUAUAUUGUUGUCAAAUUUAUGCUACUAUUAUAAAAAUAACAUAGAUUAUAGAUGAUUAUGCAAAUAUUAUGGAUGGAUUAUGCAUAUGUUCUAUUAUAUAUUAGCCAACUAUUUUUAGUUUAAACCUGAGUGGAUAAUAUUAUUAAUUCUUAAAAAAAGACAAAUACUUUUGUCUUUUAAAAAAUUUGACCAAAUAAAAUAUGGUUUGGGUUCAUUGAACAAAUACAUAUGCUAAGAUUCUAGGGUUGAUAUAUAUAUAUAUAUAUAUUAAUUUGAAGCACUAGAUGUGCAAAUUCAACUAAACUCGUUACUUUCUUAUCGAUUGAUUAUCGAUUGAUAAGUGCAUGUACAGAAUAUUAUAGACUAGACUAUGUUAAAAGGCCAACAACUUCUUUAAAAAUUAACUGAGGCAAAAGUGGUGAUGCACCACCACCAAAAUUCACGAUAUUCUGUGACUCUGAAGGAAUUCUUAUCAAGUUAGUUCUAACGUAAGGUAGUUUAAUUCGAUUUAAAUUUAUAAAAUUUAAAAAAUUUAAAACUUGUGGUCUAAAAUGAAAUAAUAGAGAUUUGUGUAGCUAUUAAUCAUUCAUUAACGAUAAAAUAGAUAUUUUAAAAUUAAUUUGUUACUCCCUCCGUUCACUAUGGUUUCUAUUUUGAGUCAAACUAUAAGAAUUUUUACUAACAUUUUAAUAUGUAUUUUUCAUCAUAUUGAUAUGCAAAAAUUUGCAAUUUAUAGUACUUUUCAUAUAGUUUUUGAACAUCUAAUUUUUUUGUUUAAAAUAUCAAAUUAAUGUAAUCUAAUUUAACUUUAAAAAUAAUCAAAUUGACUUUCAAAUAAUGCAACAUGACAAAUAAGAAUGGACAGAGAAAGUACUUACUAUAGAAAUGUCAUUCUUUUUUAGACUAACUAUAUGAAAAAAACAAGUCAUAUUAAUUGAUAUAUAUAAAAAAACAAGUCAUAUUAAUUGAUAAAAAAGUGUAUCACUUUUUAAGAGGAUGCAAUAUAUUUUUUCUAUCCUAUUUUAUAUGAGAUAUACUUUUCUUUUAAGGGCGAAACAAUAUUUUAAUAUUGAGAUCAUCUGAACUAUGGAAAAUAUAAACUUAAAUAUAAAAGUUAAAACAAAAUACUAACAAAAUAUGAACUUAUAACUUUAAAAUAUAAUGUACUUCGAGAUGACUCAGUUGGUUUGGAGGGUGGUUAUCCGCACGGAUGACCCGGGAUCAAUUUCCCCUCAAUAUCUUUUGAGUAGAUUCUGUCGCGUAUGACUUGCCUCGUGUGAUUUACAUUCCAUGUGUGGUUUGCAUGCUAUUGCACGGUGGGAGGUUUAUCUAGUGCACAUAAAGUGCUAAUCCGAAGGACAGAAAAUGUGACAAAGAUUAUAGCGACUACAAGUUAUCCUAAAACUCCAAAAAACUUUUAAAAAUGACUUAACAAUUAAUAUUCAGUUAAACAUCAUCACAUAAUUAACUAAGACAUAUAAGGGAGUAUUAUAAAUAGAAGAAAAAUGUGCACCAAAAAUUAUCCAUCAAAGAAAAGAAACCAAUAAUAUCCUCUAUAGUCCAUGGCAACAACAGCAAAUGGAAUGGCGCCAGAAGACGACUCGACGGUCGUCCCGUCGAGAACUAAGUGUCCGGCGCCAUUCUUGCUAAAGACUUACGAACUUUUAGAGGUGGAGGUGGAGAUGGAGGCGGAGGCUGAGAAAGAAGAUAAUAUUAGAAAAAAUAAUAAUAAAGGUAAUUUCAUGGAAUGAAGAGGGAAAUGGAUUUGUUGUGUGGUAUCCUGAUGAAUUUUCACAUAGGAACAUCUAAAAGAAAUGUUAAUUGUCGCUAAAAAUACAUAUUUAACAGUAAUUAAGAAUUAAUACCACUAAUAAUUAUUUUUGAUCUAGUGGAUAAAAAUCUAAUAUGUUUAGCCGCCAAAUUAUUUAUACUUUUCAAACUUAUGGUUCUUGAAUAUCUAGCUAAUAAAAUAUAGAUCAAAUGCAAUUUUGAAAAUUAGUCAAAGUUAACUUUCAAUAAGUCAAAAAUAUCGUCAUAACAAAUUGAAAAAAAUAGUAAUUAUGUAGUAAUUGUUAGUAGAUUGGAUAUAAGAGAAGUAUUUGUAUAUUAUUUAGUAACUUGUCUAUAUAAUUAUGUAGGAAUUGUUAGUAGAUUGGAUAUAAGAGAGUUAAUUGUGUAUGUUAAUAAUUAUGUUGAAUUUUACUAAGAUAAAUAAUUAAUGAUUAUUCAAAUAAUAAACUCGCACACCUUUGAGGUAUGAAACUAAAAUAAUCAAAUAAUACUAGUCAAAAUUCUGGAAAAACAGUUUUAUUUUGACUUAAAUUAGUCAACUUUUUAGAAUAUGGAAUACAAUGAUUUUAUGAAUGUUGGAACAAUUUUUUAAAUUUUAUUUGCACUUCUUAUUUUCUUCUCUAGCCUUACCUAACCAUACACACUAGGCAAUAUUAACUCCUUUUUUUAAAAAGUCGAAUUCAAAAUUUAGAAUCGCUGAGUGAGUUUGAUCAUAAGUAUGAUCUUUUAAAUUCCUUUUGCAUUGAACAAAUAUCACAUAUCUUGAAUUUGUCUAUGCUUUACGGUCUGUUAAUUAAUUUCAUUACAUAUAUAGUUUCGAGUUUUUUUUUUGUUAAUUAAUAUUUAAGUUUUUAGGAAUUCGAUGAAUCUUAUUAAAUGUAGAUACUUUAAUUAUUUUUUUUGGUAUAAGUUAAGUAUGUACAAUCCUCGAGUCGAAUACUAUGUUUGAAUUGAACAAACAUAAUGUACAUGCUCUAAAUUCGCCUCUGCUUUUACUAUAAUAAAAGGAUGAAUUACAUGGAAUUUUCUUAAAAAUUAGUAUGAAAAUUUGAUACCACUGAAAUCAACAUAAACUCUACUAUAAGCUUGAUUGAACUCGACUCUUAUUGAGACCUAAUUAUAACUUGGCAUACUUCUUGAUAAUCACAUCAGCAUCUUUGACAUUUUUUGGUAGAGGCAUGUUUGUCUUGAUAGUAACUCUUGAUGUAGAAAUCAAAAUUCUUUCCCCUAAAAUUAAAGAAUCAUUUUUCCACAAAUUCACUUCCCAAACAUGAAUUGAUUUUCCAACAUUGAGAGGUUUAGCCUCAGCAUAUACAAUUUCACCAAGAUUUGCACUUCUUAGGUGGUGGAUGCUGAGGUGGACCCCAGCCACCCUUUCGAACCCGGACGCCACGUGGGCGCCCAUACUAGCCAGAGAUUCAGCUACUAGAGCCGAGACUCCACCAUGCAACACAUUAAAAGGGUUGCAACAUUUUUUAACCACCAAAAAGUAACCGAAAAUUUUCUGAGGAGAAAUCUCUGAAAUUUUAAAACCGAUAACAUCGAGUGGUGCAUCUAAAAUCUCUUUCAUUGGAAUUGAUUUUGUUAAUUGCUCCAUUUUUUUCCUUUUUUCUUAUCUUUUUUUUUUUUACUUCCUUUGAUUUUCUCUGGAAUUCUUGGAAAUGAUGUUGGGAAAUUGGAACCAAAAAAUGAAUUUAUAUAGAAUUUUUUUUUUUCGGUUUGGAUUUGUUUUCUACUUUUAAAAAAAGAGAUAAAAAAAGAUUUGUCUGAGUCAACUUUUUUUUUUUUUUUUUUUUUUUCUGAGUCAACUUAUGUGUAUAUCUUAUUAUGUUUUUAUAUGAAGAAAUGGAUAAAGAUGAAAUAAAAGGAUAAAAAUACAUAUUAUUUUUUUUACUAGUCAACUUUAGCAAAUUAAAAAAUAAUAAUUUUAAUUUAUCUUUUUUAUUAUGGAAAAUUUUUCAAAAUGUCAAUAUUUUAACAUUUAAGAGAGCUCAUUAGCAAUACUUUUAAUAUUUAGUAAAAGUGUCAAAUUUUAAUUUGUUAUGUAUCUUAUUUAUGUUUUUAUUAUUUAUUUUUAUUUAAAGAAUAUAAUUAUUUAAUAACAAAAGGGAGAAAAUCAAGGGAGAGAAUAUUUCAAAAAAAAUAAAAUAUAUAUAUAUAUAUAUAUAUAUACACACACACACACAUACAAUCCUCGAGUUGAAUACUAUGAUUUGAAUGGAACAAACAUAAUGUGCAUCGAAAGUUUGUCAUUUUACGCUUAUCGAAAGUUAAUUUGAUUAAUUUUUAAAAAUUAAUUAGAUCACAUUAAUUCGAUAUUUUAAACAAAAAAAUUAGAUAUUCUAAAAGUACAUGAAAAGUACUAUAAAUUACAAUUUUUUGCAUGUUAAUAUGAUGAAAAAAUACAUCUUGAAAUGUUAGUCAAAAUUUUUAUAAUUUGACUUUAAAAUUGGAAACCAUAACAAACAAUUUCGGAUGAAGAGAAUAGUUUGUUAAUGAAUUUUGUUACAUAUAUAGUUUUGCGUGUUUUUUUUUUUUUUUGCAUAAUUAAUUUCGAAUUUUUAAACCAAAUAUAGGGAUUCAAGAAAGUGUCAUCCAAAAAGUGCGAAUUCUCACAUAAGUUCAAGAAGGGAAAUAAAGUGAUAAUGCAUAAAUACUCCCAUAAUUUAUGUUUGAAAUUUCAUAGACACACUUAUACUAUACUAAAGUUUUAUUACCUCCAUAAACUUAUUUUAAUAAUAAUUUUUGAUCACUUUUCAGCCUACGUGACACUAUCUUGUAAGAUCAACACUGAUUGACUUCUUUUUUCAAUGUAAUGCCACGUAGAUCGAAAAGGGGUAGAAAAUUACUUAUAAAAUAAGUUCAGGGAGGUAAUGGGACAUUAGUAUAGUAUAAGUGUGUUUCUAAAAUUUCGAACAUGAGUUGAGGAGUAUUUGUGGAUUUUCCUGAAAAUAAACAUUUACUUGCAAAAAUAGCCAUAAAAAAGUGACCAAAGUGUUUUUCCUUUAUAUUUAAACUUUAAAGUCAUGUUCUCAUGAAGAAAGCCCAAAUGUGGCUACAAUUGAAAGACAACAGUUGCUUUAGAAUGUGUGUGUGUGGGGGGGGGGGGGGGGGGACUACAAUUGCAAAUGCAAAUUGCUCAUAAAAUUGUUGAAUUGCCUUUCUAAGUAUGUAGGCAAUCAACAAAAAUAAAAUUAAAAGAUGACUUUUGUUUAGCCAACAAAAAUAAAGUUAAAUUUUUUUUUUGUUGAAAUAAGUAAAUUGCUUUAUUUUUAGACAACUAAUUUUCUUUUCAUAUUCAUAAAGUCUAAGAUUAACUGAAAUGGUAUUAUAUGUGUUGUUCAACAAAUAAGGUUAAUAUUGAUUUCCCUUAUCAACAUCUCUUAAUCGAAUUAGAUGCACCAAACUUAACUUACGUAUAACAAGGUUUACAUCUUCUAUUCGAUUUGCGAGCUAUUUGAUAUAUAAAAUUCAUAUCUCAUGUAAAACAAUUUUUUUUAUAUAUAUAAUUUAUGAUCUUUAAGAUAAAGUAAGAAAUUGUAUUAAAUUUUAUAUCGAUCAGAUAAUUAGAUAAUUUAAAAUAAUCAAACAAACACUAAAAGUUUCUAAUUCACAACUAGCAAAGCUUACUUGACUCAACUCACUUGAUUGAAUUCGACUUGACUAGAUGAAUUCAAACUUAAACUUUAUUACAAACUCAAUUGACUCAAACUUUAUUGCAAGCUUAACUGAAUUUGAUUCCACUCUAUCAAAUCAACAUAAACUCUAUAACAAGAUCGAUUGAACUUAAUUCGUUAUCGAGACCUAAUUAUAACUUGGCAUGCUUCUUUAUAUUCAUAGCAGCUUCUUUGACAUUUUUUGGUAGAGGCAUGUUUGUCUUGAUAGUAACUCUUGAUGAAGAAAUCAAAAUUCUUUCCCCUAAAAUUAAGGAAUUAUUUUUCCACAAAUUCACUUCCCAAACAUGAAUUGAUUUUCCAACAUUGAGAGGUUUAGCCUCAGCAUAUACAAUUUCACCAAUAUUUGCACUUCUUAGGUGGUGGAUGCUGAGGUGGACCCCAGCCACCCUAUCAAAUCCGGACGCCACGUAGGCGCCUAUGCUAGCCAGAGACUCGGCUGUUAGAGCCGAGACUCCACCAUGCAACACCUCAAAAGGGUUGCAACAUUUUUCAGUCACUGAAAAGUAACCGAAAAUUUUAUGAGGGGAAACCUCUGUAAUUUUAAAAUCGAUAACAUCAAGUGGUGCAUCUAAAAGAUCUUUGAUUGGAAUUGAUUUUGCUGAUGGCUCCAUUUUUUAUUUUUUUUUGUUUCCUUUGAUUUAUUUUCUCUUGGAUUCUUGGAAAUGAUGUUGAGGGUUGGAAACAAAAAUCAAUUUAUAUAGAAAUUUAUUUAUGGAUUUGGAUUUAUUUUCUACUUCACAAAAAAAUAAAUAUAAAAAGAGUUUUUUUUUUUUAUUAAUUGAGGAACUAGAUUGAUGAUGACAUGAUAGUAAUUAUGUUUUUGCUUUGUGGUUGGAACAGUUUUUUUUUUUUUUUUUGUAAAAUAAUGUUGUCUGAGUAUAUUUUAUUAUGUUUUUUCUUAAUCAACUUUAGCAACUUAAGAAAAAUAAUCUGAGUUUAUCCUUUUUAUUAUCAAAUAAUCAUUGUUCAAAUUAAUUGAAAUAUUAAUAGUCGAUAGAUAAUAGAUAACAUGUGAAUAUUUUUAUAUUUUUUCGUUAAUCUCGAGAAAUGGAAGAAAUUUAAUUAGCAGAAAAUUAGUUACCGAUUUAAGAAUGUAACAUGUCAUUUUUAUUCACAUUAUAAUAAAUAUUUUUAAAAAAUUGAAAAUCAAGAUAAAGUGAAGAUCGAUCGAUUUAUAUUGUUAAAUUAUCUUUAAUAAAGAUAAUUUAAUUAAAUAAAUACUUAAUUAAAUUAUAUUGUUAAUCAAGAGUCGAUAUUCUUAUUAAAAUAAUUCAGGUGAUAUUUAAAGUUUCAAAAAAUAGAUUAUCAACUUAUGCAAUCAGAGCAUAUAUAAUAGUCACAAAUUUAUUUCUUUUUCCUGAUUUAUCAAUUCAUCAUAAUUUAAUUUUUUUAAAAAAGAUAUUAAAUUGCUUGUGGCAAAAGUUGCUUAUAUUAUAACGUAUAAAAAUUGAACUCUAAUUUCUUUUGUUGUUAGGUGUAAUUAAACUCUGUAAACGUGAUUUUAUUACUUUCUUGUAAAGGUUAGGAUCUCUUCUAUAGAUUCGUGACUCAAGUAAAAUAGGAAAAUGACAUUUAUAGGCAUAUUGUAAUUAUGUUUUUAAUUAAGAGUCGAUAUUCUUAUUAAAAUAAUUUAAUAUAUAUAAAAAAAUAAACACAUAAAAAAUUCGAUAAAGCAAUAUUUAUUAUUAUACUUUAUAUACAUUUAAGAGACAAUGUAUAUAUACUAAAAAAUAACUUUAAAUAUACAAGUAUCUGAAUUUUGAUCGAAAGAAAUUCGAAAUCAAUUGCACUCAUUACCUCAUGUUUCAUCUCAAAAUAUAUCAAUUAUUUGUAGUUAUUUUUAAUCGAUCUGAUUAUAUGAAUUGCUUUUUGUGAUAAAUAUAAUUCAAAAUUUCUUUUUUGGUUUCUAAAUAUUUAAUAUACCCACUUUAAAAUCUAAUUAAAAUUGAAAUAUCCCACCGCAAUUCUUGGUCUUGGUAUCAUUUAAUGUCUUAGAAAGUUAAGCUUUAAUAAUAACCUCUAUAAAAUAAUAUUUUUCUUAGAUCUCAAUCUAGGCUAAUGAAAAUAAUUAUGCAUUUCAAGAAGAUAAUGAAAUAAUAUAGUUUCAGAAGACUUUUUUCAUGAAUAUAUAGUUUCAUUAAUAUCAUAAAUUAAUAAUUUUUAAAAAUACAAAUAUAUCUAAGAUAUUUUAGUGAAAUAUGAUUUUUGAUAUUUUUUUUGGAUAAAAAUUUUAAUCUAGUUAAAACUCAUCUCUAACUUUUCUUAUUGCAUCCGAGAGUUUCGAUGUUGUCUUUUCGAACUGUACCAUAAAAUUACAAUUUUAGAUGCGAUAAAUAUUUCCUUCUGCAUAAUUGGUUCCAAAAUAUCAUAUCAAAAUCAUUUUCACCAUCAAUGUUGCUUUUCUAAUUCAUUUUCACCAUCAAUCCGAUGAUAUCCACAAUUUCUUCUUAGCUAUAAAACUCUAAAUAUAUAACAUUGUUCUAUAUAUGAUAAGUGUUUUUCGAGCUGCAUUAUAAAUUUAUUUUUUAUGUAAAUUUAAUAAAUAUGAUUCAUAAAUUAGUAAGAUGCGAUGAUUUUGAUAUUGAAUCUCAAAAUACUCUUUAAAUUAAUAAUAAUUAAUUUUAUCGAUUAAAUAAUACAUUUACAAAAUAAUAAUAUUUCACGAUCUCACCUGUAUUAAUUUGAUGAGAUUUUACUAUAUAAUAUAUAAAGUUCACCUCAAAACAUAUUUAAAAUAUCUUUCUUCUUUGUUUCACGAAUUUCAUAUAUCAACUAUCCCUUAUUUUAUAAUAUAUAUAUCUAACCUAUCACUUUCUUUGUAAUAAUACACCUUGAUAAUGAGUUAGAUCAAAUAUUUAUUUCCAAUUGAUAUCACACGUGUACAAGGCAACUGUCAAACACCUCUUUGUCGAAAAAUUACACGAUAUAGUUAAAAGUAAAAAUAUUUUUUUGACACUCCUUGAUUUCUACGCGAUUUUACUUCUUUAUAGUUUGGCACCUCCUGAUCGAAGUUCUAACUCCGCCAUUAUAUACAACCACUUUCUUUGUAUUAAAACAUAUCUCAACAAUAGUUGCUUAAAAAUUUGUUUUACAUUCGAUAAUAGACAUGUCUAAAUCAACUCAACGUCAACAUAUGUUUCAAUACAAAGAAAGAGAUGAAUUGAAAUAUAAAGCUCAAAGAAAAUGUGAUGAUUUAGAUAGGUAAAUAGAGAUUUUUCUCGAAAGGAGGCAAUUUGAUAAUUAACUCUUUCUUUUUUUUAGGUCAACUAACAUUCUUGACAAAAGAACCAAGUAAAACUGUUUCAAAAAAUUUAUAAAAAUGAAUAUUACUUCUACAUUGACUAUCUACUUCAUUUAAAUACAGGAUUGCUAUAAGAAUGUUAUUUGUAUGGGAUAAAUUAUGAUAAGAUUAUUUUUUAUCAAACGGUUUGGUUUGUUGUAUUCGGGAAUAAGUUAUCCUGAAAUUACUAUACGACUCAAGGUGAGGUCUAGCUUAUCCCGAACUACGAUUCUUUCAUGGAUUGGGGCAUUAAUUCACAAACUAAAAUGGCACAGGAGGAAAAGGCAACAAAGUUCAGCUAUGCUGCUACACGAGAUACCUUUAAAUGUGUCAUUCCAACUUGUUCAGGAAGGGCUAAAAAUUUUCAGCCAGUAUACAUUUCAAAUCGAUACUGACAUAGCAUAACAUUUCGUGUCGAUUCUCAGUAGGGAAAGCAAUAGAGUUCAAGGGUGUAAACAGCAAGUCAAAGCUUUUAGCUAAAAUGUCUCGAUAUCAUAAAACGUGCCCAUCAAAACACUUAAGGGUGGGAGCUUACUCCAGCGUGAAAACGUAUCCUAACACCAUCAUCAUAAGCGGUGUAGCGAAGUCUAGAAUGCAAACAAACUACAUCGACAAAUUCUUGAAAGCGGAACCAGUGAAUACCUGAUCGAGCAGAAAGUUUUUGCAGUAGGAUGAUCUGAAACAUAAUGAAGAAUACUGUAGAGAUCUUGAGAAAACAGGGUCUUGAUUACUCGCACAUUGUUGGUCUAUACAUCUUCUGGUGAAGUAUACAUUUAAUCUCAUUCACCGACUACAAAUAGCGGUAUUCCCCUGAGGAUAAAUCAGAUUUGACUUCAUGUUAGGUGUCAGGUCUCAAAAAAAAAUAAAAAAAUACACAUGCCAGCAAAUGUGCAGUUUUUCUUCGCAAUGGUAAAACAGUUCAUUUUGUUAUGCACAUGCAGGAUUCAUGGAGUACCAAAUUACUCACCAGCCUCCAUGUCUUGAGAAAUAAUCAUUAUCAAGAGAUAUAGCAAGUGCAACAGCUACUGCUCUUUCUGAUAGGCUUAAUGGGCGUGCUACAUCCAACUCUUCAAUCUACAUUGAAAAAGAAACCAAAACAAUUGUGAAUCAUCUGCCACUGGUCGCAACACAUGUCAUCUUGCAUUUCUAGCUCAUCUCAAAAUGUUCUCAAGACACUUUCACAUGUAACAACCAAUAAACUAUUCAAGAUAAGUUCAAUAGACAAGUUUGAGUCUUCCCACGCCAGUCUCAUCAUCACAUCAUCAAAAUAGGGGAGUUUUUUUUUAAUAAAUCUUUAUUUUUCUUUUUGCUUUUUGGUUGGGUCAGGAGGUGAGGGAUCACUUAUGAAUAAUUGGAAAAAUAAAUGAAGGUUUAAGAUGUUAAAACAGGUGCUCCCACAUAUGAGUGAUUGGAAAAAAAAAUUAAGGCUUUAAGAUUCAGUAGAGUUGCUUUACCCCUGUAACAGGACAAAUACUAGUAUCAGCAUUCCCGAACCGAAUCACAUACUGGCCAGCAUCAGUGAAUAUCUGUCACACAAACAACAAAACAUUAGUUCUUUGCAAUAAAAUUGCUGAAAACUGAGGAAUUAUUUCAACAGAACCAAAAAAGAAUAUCAUAGAAAUGUGUUCCCGGCCACCAUGAGCUUGCAUAUCAUUUCAAAUCUAUAGACGCCCAUUUUUAAAAAUAUUUUGUCAGUAAUCACUGAAAGUGAUGAACUGUAAUAUGAUAAUGCAGCAAAAGAGACGCAUAGUAUUUAUAAUUGGCAUGCCACAAUGUGAGAGAAUAAGACAUGAGAAACAGCAAGAAAUGCACAACUUUGACCGUAAAGUAUCUCCGACCAAAGAAGACAAAUAUAAUUUAUCUUAGAAAGUAGACACAAUACUUCACAACAAAGUAAUAAAGCAUUUUUCCUGUUACCGUGAACCAUUCUGCUUCAUGUAUCCUGAGAUAAUUAGCACACUCAACCAGAGGGAAAAAAAAAGGAAGAAGGAAAAUCACCUCAAAACCAAAACCUCUCCAAUCACGAUCUAUCUGAGCCAGCACCUUCCCAUCGAUGUCCUUCAAAGUAAAUGUCCAAUUCCAAAAGCCAGGAUUUUCAACAACAGCAAACUGCUUAUUCCUACAACAUGUGAUAAACAUGUUCUAAGUCAUAAAAUAAGCUAAAGUCCAUUUAACAACAUUAUUUAUCUGAUACAACGGAUCAAAGUGGGUGCAUUCAAGAGUCAGAAGUGUUUCCAGCAAGUCAUUUAGAUACUAGACUUGGAAAUAUUUAGACGCUAUAGCGGCCACAAGUCAUUACAUUUCUGCAGAGAGUAACGAACGCUUCAGUGUUAGUGGCUCACUUUUACACCAAGGUGUGUUUGGUAAUUGUUUUCCAAUUUUCCUAUGUUUGGUUGGUCAAAAUUUUAAAAAACAUAUUCUUAGGAAAACAAACUCCUUAAAAAUGAGGAAAUUGACUUCCUUAAUGGAAGUAGGAAAAACAAGUUGCAUAAGGACAUUCCAAGUUUAUUGUCGACCAUCUCUCCAUUUAAUAGAAAAUCCAGGAGGUGUGGUAAAUUUCAAGAACUUGAUAUUAUCAAACCACCCAUACUCGCUAAACAUAACUUUUCCUCUUUCACACUAUAGAUAGUGAGAUCAAAAUAUGUUAAGUUUAGGAACACAAUUAACUUCAGUUUACAUGUAAAAACCUUAAUCUAUUCAAUGAACCAUGAAAGUUAUUCAACCAAUCCACAAUUCCUUAAGUAAAUCCAUGUUACUGACUCCACGUAAUUGAAUCUUCAAACCAUACAACCCCUCGAAACAAGAGAUUUGAGGGACAGAGAGAUAAUUUACGACUGACAUGAAUACGUGGAAAUAUUGCAAAAAGGAGAUUACCCCAAGUAAAGAUCAUAAAUUCUCCUCCAGAGAUGCCAUCUUCUGUGGACAACACCAACCUCCUGGAAACAUUUACGACGAGAGCUUAAAACUACUGGAACAUAUGACCUAAAAAUUGACAAUUCACGGGAAUGGCUUGCAUAAAUGCAUACUUCUCCAUUUAUCUCUGCAUAAAUUGAGCUGUUGAUCCACCAAAAGGGCCUCCGAACCUUAUUUGAUCAGUACAGACAGAUAAUUAUAAAUUCUGGGUAUACAUAUAUUCUGAAAUUAGAGCUAAUUGAAUACCUCAAUGGACAAUACAAGACGCUGUAUUAAAUUUCUUACCUUAAAGAGCUCAUUGCCAAGGCCGUCAGUUACGUAAGCCACAAAUGGGCGCCUUGUACGAAGAAACUACAACAAAGAACAACACAUUUAGGUGAAAAGAUAAUAAAAAUUAUAAAAGUUCCGGUGCACACUAAUAAAAGAAAAAAAGCAUCAGCUAGCUGCCAGUGUACGGUAUUAGUUAGCAGACAAUAAAUGCAACAAGAUGCAGCUUCACUUGUGAAACCUGAUAAAAAUGCAAGGUUCUCAGAAGCUCUCUUUCAUCUAUGAUGCUCUCUCUUCUUUCCUUUUUUUGGGGGGAUAAGUAAUAAGAAACUUUUUACAAAUGAAAGCUGCACUGAGCCUGUGCUUCAACAGAUAAUUACAGAGAGUGAAAUUCUCCUUAUCAGAUUAAUCAUUGCAUCCACAAUCUACAUCACGUAGAAUGGUAGGUUGCACCAGAAAGCUUAAAGACAAACGUAACUAGUUUAAUUCAAGAAUUCUGUGAGAAUAUUCAAACAGGAGCGAAGAAAAUGAACUGGAAAAACAUCACAUUGUGGCUCUUUAUUGGAUGUUGUAGCUAAUGAUCAUAUUCCUUCUCCACACAACGGAUAUUUUAAUUUGGUGAAGAUACCUUUCUCCAUGAUUAUAUAUGGGGGAGUGCAUUAUACUAGCCAAUAACAUGAGAAAUACCUACACUGUAAAAGAACCCUCGUGUCAUAUCUAUCCUAAUACGUCACCACCAUUCAAUAUCAACUUUUCGUAUUCAAACUCCUAUUAGCCCACUCUCCCAUACAGAGUUUCUGUCACCUCCUAUUUUGCAGCCUUCAGCACUUACUCCGGCGUUAAUCAUAUUCUCUACAACAUAUUCAAUGACAUUGGUAACACUUCCCAACAAAAGAGGGUGGAUAUGCAUCUGUGGAUCAGUCAACCACUCUACCAGCAUGAAAGAAGACCAACUACAUAAAUGCGAACAUGUUUUAUUGAUCUCAGUAUAACAUAUAAAUAUGCCGCCACUUUCCCGUAUCGAAUUUUCAUCUCCAACAAGAUGCAACUUGCAGUUUCAUAUACCCAGACAUGAUUUCUACAGGCAGAAUCACAAUCACUACUCUAGUGUUGAAGCCCUCACUCUCCAGUUUAUUGAUGCCAACUCCAUAAAUUUCUAUAUAGACUAUUUGCUUGUUAUACUUGUCAACACAACCAACACUUAAUGCAUGCUCUUCUCCUUUUACCAAGGGAUAGCUGGAUAUGGUUCAUAAAGCUACACAUGCACCCAAUGCAAAUUCAAUCAGCUAGACAUAAAUUACAUUUAAAUCACUGAACCAUGCUAAUCAUCUAAAACAAUCACUCGGCCUCUACAAUCUUUGACCAUUGAGGGGAAAUUAAAUUGAUGACACCAACUCUUUGUCCUCCAAAUUCAUGCAGUCGCGAGUCACCCUCCGGGUUUUUACUCCCAAUAAACUUCUACUUAGCCAAUCCAAUCCAUCUUAGACUUCUCAAUCUCAUAUAAACAAAUCAAGACAUGUAUGUGAUGUUCAAAAAGUGCAUAGUUGAUUAAAGAUGCAUUACAUGCAUAUAAUCAACUAGAAAAUUACAAUAAAGAUGAUGAUUGACCAUGUCAGUGAUGUAAAGUUCUGUGAAAACCAUGUGCAUGAUACAUGUUCAUAAAUAUAAGUAAUUAGUCUCUCCUCUGAAUUUCUCUACAGUACUGCCGGAUCAUUAAGUUAAAAACAUUCUUUCAUAGCCUCAUCGAGAACCCAAACAAUAAUAGAAAUACAAGCUACUUUUUGAACAAAAGGUUAAAUGUGACAAACAAAUCAAAAGUAGAUAGCAAAACGAAGAACCAGAAGUACCUGUCUUGCAAGGAGAUUACUUUGUUCACGAAUGAAACCUACAGGCUAGAAAGACAAUAUACAAGUAAGAACUAAUUUAUCAAUAAGGGAAAUUUUGUUAUAUCAAACUGUCUAUGCAAGCAGUAAACUGCAGUGAGAGAACUAGAAGGCAUUAGAGUUUACAUACCGAUUGUGGGAAGCAGACAUCCAUGACUGCAUAUCUGUUUUCCUGUAAAUUAUACAGAAAAUCAAUCACAAAACUCUGUAGUCAAAGUAUAUCAAAGAAAAAGUAGAUUAAAAAGAACAUGUUUAGAGUCAUCCAACCCCAAUAUCUCAACACCACAAUAAAACUCUAGAAGAGUUCUUCUGUCCCAAUUUGUGUGGCACUGUUCGACUGUCCAUGAAGUUUGAGAAACAAAAGAUAGACUUUUGAAAGUUAUAGUCUAAAACAAGUCUUAGACAUUUGUGUGACUAUAAAUCAUCUCAUAUUAGUAAAACAGGGAUUUUAAACUUAUAUUGAUUCAAAUAUGGAAAGAUGACAUUCUUUUUGGGUUAAAUUAUAAACUAUGCCACAUAAAUUGGGACAGGGGAGUAUAAUUAAAUUUUAGGGUUUACUACUGAAGUACAUAUUUUGGUUCUCUUUCUCUCUUCGGGGUCGUUUGGUAGAGUGCAUUAACAAAAAUAAUGCAUGCAUUACCUUUAUGUAUUAGUUGUCAUUGUUUGGUACACUUUUUCAUGCUAUGUAUGAUUAAUGCAAGCAUUAGUUACUCUAUUAUGUAUUAAAGAGUGUAUUACUAAUACCAUUGUUUUCUAGGUAUUAGUAAUGCAAAGGGAUUUAUGCAUGCAUUAAAAUGGUUAAAGACUCAAUUACCCCUCAAAAGCACUUUUACAUCUUUUUCACCACAAUUGUGGUGGAUAUUUUUGUAAAUAAAUGUUUUUAUACAAUGUGUACUAUUUUUAAUCCAUCAAACCAAACAAUGCAUAAAAAAUAAUUUAUGCAUAACUAAUACAAACAUUACUUAUGCAAGCAUUACUAAUACAUUCUAUUAGGCAUUAUUUUUUACACUCUACCAAACAACCACUUCAAGUAUUUUGGGUACUCAACAGUGUAGAUUGUUGAGGAGUUCAGAGGAACUCAACAAAAGAAUGAGCCCGGAGAGCACAGAGUAGGUUAAGUAGGAAGAGAAAUGGGCUUGAAGAAAAAAUACUGCUCUGAUAGUUUGAGUUGUGAGAGAAACCCAGAGUGAGCGAAUACACAAGAUAAAAUAUACAGUUGGGCCAAAAAUUAGAGAAUAUAGAGAACAUGAUUGCAUCAGACUUGAAUAAGGAGUUCCCUAAACUUAAGCUCCAAUUCCAUAUGAACGAAUGUAAGCUGUAGAGGUGGGUGUUCGGUUCUUUCGAACUUCGGUUUUCAGUUAUUCAUAAGGGUGUACCAAAUACCAAACCAUUUUUUCUUUCAAAUUCAGUUCGGUUCGGUUUGAUUUUUUUCUAAUUUUGGUUCUUCAGUUUUUUCUAAUUGAUCAUUCCAUAUGCCCAAAUUAGUUGAUGGAAGUGUGACUUUGGUUCCGCAAAGCCUCUAGUGCUCAUUCAACAGCCACAUAUGACAGCAUGAAGAACUUGAGCAGCCACCCAAAUGACUUUAAAAGAUUAGUAAUCUAGAACCCUUUGACCAAGCAAAUAGAUACAAAAUAAUAAUUGCAAUACCAAUAAUGUUGUUCAUAAGAAUAAAUUAGUAAAGCCACAAACGUACUUGCUCAAAACCAAGCAUAAGAUUAGCCCACUCUAUAUCUCUUGUUAUCAGCAAGUUAGAUCUUGCAAAGAAGAGGUGCAACCAUGGCCUGAAAGAAGAAAGAUGUUGGAAUUUCGGUGCUUUUUACACAUUCCAACUCUAAACAGAAACGAAGGCAACAAGUCUACAUUUUCUGAUUGACAACAAUAGCAAUAUACAUCUACAUGUUUAAGCAGGAAAGGUAACAAACUACAAUGAAAUUUUCAGCCUAAAAUAAAGAGUUCAUAAACUAAAAAGACACGUUCCAGCCAUGUCUGUAAAGGAAAAUAUAGAGUGACUCUGUAUCGUACCCUAGACAAAGCAACUUAAAAUAUGCCCAGGGUUGUUGAUGGAAGUGCGAUUUUGGGUCAGCAAAGCCUCUGGCGCUCCCCUUAACAGCCAGGGAUACCAGUAUUUGAGAUGAAGAACUUAAGCAAUAACCAAACUGACUUUAAAAUGAUUAGUAAUUCAGAACCCUUUGACAAAGCAAACAGAUACAUAGUUCCUUAAGCACGAAAAUAACAUUUUAAAGAUAUAAUCAAUGAGCUGAAAAUAUGAGGAUUUCGAGAUUCUGUCCCUCUAAAGGGAGCAAGGUGACUAGAGCACUGAGUAGGGUCAAAGAUCUCCCGUGAAGUAAAUGCAAAACCAGUUGCAGAGCAAACACUUCUUAUAAUGCAUGAGCAAUAGUAGACACAUUACUCAUUAGAGCCAUCAGUUAGGAAGUAAACAACCUAGUCAGAUACUGAGCACACCUAUUCAAAUUAAAAGAAGCAACAAAGACAGAAGUGAUUGGCCAUUUUGCAGAUACAAGACCAAUUAAAGCUAUAACUUGGGAAUCCAGUUCCAUGUUUGGGGGCAUAUAUGUUGAACAUAAAAUUCUACAUUUCUUUUGCUAUGAAUGCUAGAAGAGUUUGACAACUCUACCUCCUCAACUGAUGUUGGCUCCAAAAUACCUGUCACAGAUUGGCUUGUAGGUGGUUGCUUGAGAACUGGAUUGACUUUCUUGUGAGGUGUCACUUCAGGAAUGGAGGCACCUGAGAACAUUUUUUUGAACCCAACUUGGAAAAAUGUGUCAAAACCUGUUGUUCCUCUCUGGUCUACAGUAUUUCUCAAUUUUCUUUUUGUUUUUUCCAAAUCUUUGUUUCUUUUUGUCAGCAAGCCAACGCUGCACAGAAGAAGCCCUUUUCAAAUCAGGACCAUCUCCCGACCUCUUCCCAUAUUGUCGAGAUGCAACAAUUCCACCUGGUCCUGCCCCUUGGGCAAUGCCAGUAACAAAUCCAGGCAGCUUAGCCCUCCCUAGCAUAUUUCCUUCAAAGGUCAAUUCUCUACAACGAUUUCCAGUUUGAUUAAGCGAAGACGAUAGGUAUCUUCUUUGUAACUCUGAUUGGACAGAAGAACUGUUUUUAACAUCAAAAAUCCCAUUCCAACGCUCAUUUGUCCCCAAACUUUCUGAUGAUCUACACUUGUAUUGUCUAGCUAAAAAACGAAAACUCUUUCUCCAGCUCAUCUAUGAUAAAAUAACCUUAAUCAAAUACAUUAUUAAUCAAUAUGAAUACGCAUUCUUAAGUAGUAAAAACAUAGCAAAAUUCAAUUACUCAUAACUCGUAAUCAGGAACGGAGCUAGCUUAUCAGUCAAACCUUACAUUUGUACUAAGAAAUUACCAAUUUAAAACCCAGUAACUCUAAAGGACUAAAACCCGAACAAUUAAACUUCAAAUUUUGUCUUCGCCUCUAUAGCAUAUUCAUGAAAUUGAAACAUAAACUCAAACUGUAAAGCUUUAAAUUAGUCAUUAGCCCAAUUGUACCAUCAGGUGAAUUUCUCUUAAAUAUCCACUUGCUACUAAUGGGUUUAUAACUUUUAGGAAAUUCAUACAUGUCCCAAGUGUGAUUAGAAACUAUAGUCUCUUACUCACUUUUAAUAUCCUCUUCCAAAAUAUAACAUCUAUUGAUCUCAUUGCUUCAUCAUAAGUCUUAGGAUCUUUCUUCUAUUAAAUAGAGAGACACUAAUUCAUUAUUAAAACAUUUUUUAAAAUUUUCAGUUAAGAAAGAAUGAUUAAAUCAAGACAAAACUUUUCUCAAUUUUACGUCUCUUACUCCUUUUAAGAUCAUUUUCAUGUUGAUUAGAAAUAACUCUAGAAGAUGGUACAACAUGAGAAUUAAUAGACAUAGACGUAGAAGCAUUAUUUUGAACAUCACUCGGCACAUUCUUUUCAAAGGAAAAAUAUUCUCAAAAAGUUUCGCAUCUCUAUAUUCACAAAUUGAAUGAUAAUUUAGACACAUAAAUAUAUAUGAAGCAGUGUAACCAAUAAAGGACAAUAUCAGAAUUCUUAGGUAGACCAACCUUAACAAAACACCCCACAUUUUCUGAAAUUACAAAUUAGGAGAAAAUCCUUUCUACAACUCAUAUGAUGUCUUGUUUAACUUCUUAUGGGGUAUUCUAUUAAAAAUAUAACAUGCAGACAAGACUGCUUUUCCCCACAUAAUUGUCAGAUAGUCCUGAGCAUAAAAACAUAGAGUCAUCAUUUCAUUAAGGUUCUAUUCGUUCGUCUACACAAUUUUUUUUGGAGUAUAUGGAGCACUAACCUCAUGUAUAAUACCAUUUUUCUCACAGAAAUAUUCUAGAGUUGUAGUACUAUAUUGACCACCCCAAUCAGAUCUAAACCUAUUGAUUUUACUACCUAAUUGAUUUUCCACUUGGGCUUUUGAUUUCAAAAGCAUGCUUUCAACAUCAUCUUUAGACUUAAGAAGAUAGAUCUUAAUGUAUCUAGAGAAUUCAUCAACAAAAGUAAUGUAAUACUUUUUCCCACCUUGGCUAACGGUGUUCUUUAAAUCUGCUAAAUUUGAAUAUAUUAGUUCUAGUAAUUUAGCCUUUCUACUAAUAAAAGAUUUGAAAGGUUUCUUUGCAUGCUUUGGUUCUACAUACAUAGGACAUUUACAAAAAUCAUCAGUUUUUAUCAAUGGAAUUAAUUCCAUUUUCUGAGCCUUUUAAUAGAGGAAAUAUUAACAACACCUAGUCUACCAUGCCACAAAUUAAUAGACUCAACACUAUAAGAAGAAUUUGAAAUGCUUGCAUUAUGGACAAUCUCUUGAACAAUGUUCAGUACAAAUAAUCCUCUACUAAGAUAUCCUUUCCCAAAGAAGUCUCCUCCAUGAGAAAUAAUUAUUUUAUCAGCUUCAAAAAUAAGUUUAAGGACUAUUUUAUUGAGAAGUGCUCUGGAAACUAAUUUUCUAUGGAGGGAGGGAACAUACAAAACAUUGUCCAAGGAUAAUGUCUUUUCAGAAGUUGAUUUAAGCAAAACUUUUCCUUUACCCAUUACUACAGCAAUAGUGGAGUUACCGACAUGUACACAACCUCCAUUAGUAGACUCCUCAAAGUCAUGGAAUAAAUCUUUAUUGGCAAAGAAAUGCCUUGAGGCAUGUGUAUCUAACACCCAAUAAAUUUUAUUUGCUUCCAAAUUUUCAUCAACGACUAUAACAACAACCACUUCAUUACCCUCAACAUGAUUUGUUUGGACAUCACUUCGUCCUUCCUUCUUUGAGUCCCUUUUCUUUGAUAGCACCCGGAUUCUUUGUGACAAAAAUUUCCACAAACAAAAUAAGAUCCCUUAAAUUUUUGAAUUUGACUCUCCGGCUAGUUGAAUUUUAUUUUUCUUCACAAUUUCCUUUUUUGAGAAUCUCUUCUUCUUGCCUAUGAACCUUUCUUUCACGAUAGUACUAGAAGAUUUAAUAAGAUUAACUAAAGAAGAAUUAAGCAAAAUUCUUCCAUCUUAUCUUUGAGAUGGUUUUCCUCUUUAGUCCUCAUGUGACUAAUAACUUUUCGUAGGGUUAAAUUUGUUUUCUUAUAUUUUAAUUGAUUUCUAUAAUUACUCCAAGAUAGUGGAAAUUUUUCAAGAAUAACAUUAGCCUAAAAUAUCUCACAUAUCUUCAUGUCAUCAUUGAGAACAUCCACAGUAAAGUUCACAUAUUCGUGAAUUUAUUCCAUUAUUGGUUUAUUAUCAAACAUUUGGAAUUUAAUCUACUGACCAACACCAUAGUUUUUCUUCUGGUAUCAUCAGCAUUAUAUUUCAUUUCCAAACUAUCCCAUAUUUCUUUCGCAGAUUUAAAGUUUAAAAAUAAAUCAAACAAAGGAUUAGUCAUAUGAUUUAACAAAUAUCCUCUAACAAUUUUGUUAUCCUUUUCAAACUUCUUUUUAACAACAUCAUCAACAGUUAUAACAUUGCUAGAAUCAGUAUUAGUAUUAGAAUUAUUCAUAGAAUGUUGUUUAAAUAAAACCUAAUAAAGUUCUUAUUGUUCAAAUAAUAUUAAAAGUUUUUGUGCAAUCCUUUAAAAUUAUUUCAAUCCAAGGCUCAAGUUUUGACAUAUCAUUAAAAGUUUUGUUCAAAGAAAUAGACAUUCAUCAAUAUUGUAUGUUAGGAAAAUCGGUUUCAUAUUGUUAAAAAAAUACUACAAUCUUGAUAUUAGAAUGGAAUUAUAAAAUAGUAAAUAAAUUAUCACACACAAUGUGUUUGGCAAGCCACUGCCUUUAAAGCAAUUUCGGCUUGACUUCAGUGCAAAUCAAUGUAGCCGAUCGCUCCCAAAGGCUCCACAGUUACACUCAAACACAUGCAGUCGUGGCUGAAAGUUUGGAGGUUGAUCCAAACCAAUUGCCCAAAAAAUAUUUUAAGAAUAAGAAAGAGAAGAAAAGAGGGAAAUUAUUUUCUCUUCUUUUUGUUAUUGUUGUAGUGUUUUCUUUGUUGGAAUUAAUGCAUCAAUGUUUAGUCUUCAAAAAAUGUCUCUUAGUGUUUCAAGAAGUCUUUUUAGGAUUUCUUAGUACAUGUAUCUAGUAAAUUGUGAUACAUGUUUAGUUAUUUGUGCAAGACUUUUUUUUUCAAUUUUGAGUAGUAUAAAUAGUGAUGUCGUUGAUGAUUGUAAUCAUGUCAAGUGGCCUUACGUAGCCUAUAAUAAACAUGAGCAUUUUCUAAAGAUAUUAUUUUUCCUUCCAAAUUUUCUACAAAUUGGUCUCAGAGCAGGUUUUCGUUCCUAAUCUAGGGUUAGGUGAAGAAAAAAAAUAUGGCAUCCAAAAAGAAUGAAGGUGCUGAAUCUUCAGUUGUUCUUACUCCAUAUUUUGAUGGAACAGAUUUUGAAUACUGGAAGAUAAGAAUGAGAACACAUUUGAAAGCUGAAGGUUUUUGGACUAUUGUUGCAGAUGUCUUUGAAGAGCCAGAAAACGAUGGUGAUCUUACAGCAGCAGAGAUGAAAAAUAUUGAGGCUAAGUGUCGUCAAGAUACCAAAGCCUUAAGCAAAAUCCAGAUGGGAGUCUAAAGACUAAAUUUUGCAAAAAUUGCUACUUAUGAGACUGCAAAGAAAGCUUGGAAUUUUCUGGAAACUGAGGUGUAUGGUGACGAAAAGAUAAAUCUUCAAACUCUUAGAAGAGAGUUUCAAAAUUUAAAGAUAAUCUGAAAAAUUGAUGAAUGUUGCACAAGAGUCAUGAAUAUUGUUAACGAAAUGAGAAAUGACAGUGAUACAAUUUCUGGCCAACAAGUUGUGGAAAAGAUUCUAAUUAGUGUCACAGAGAAGUAUGAGUACAUCGUUCCUAUCACUGAGGAGACGAAAGAUCUUUCUAAGCUUUCCAUCAAAAGAGCUAGUAGGAUCAUUUCGUGCACACGAGAAGCGAAGAUUUUUUCGUAAAGAUCAACACAAAUAGACGGUUUCCAGUCUAAAAUAAAUGAGAAUUCUCAAAAUUUCUCAAAAAAUCAUCAGAAAAUAAAUCAAAAGCCAAAAAAUGAAGCAACAUCAUGAUGGUUCUUCGAAGAAGGUUGAAGAAAAAGGUGAGAAAAACUCUAGUUUUUUGUAAAAUUUGCAAAAAGACUCAUCACAAUGCAUAAAAAUGUUGGCACAAAGACAAGCCCCAAUGUAACUUUUGUAAAAAGUUUGGCCAUGUUGAAAAGGAUUGUUGGCACGAGAAACGGGAGCAAGUAAAUUUUUGUGAAAAACAUGAGGAAGAAAGGGAAGAAAAUCUUUUCUUUGCUUCUAAAUCUGAUGCUUCAACAAAAAGCAGUGAAUGGUAUGUUAAUAGUGGUAGUACUAAUCAUAUGACUGGAGAUGAAAAGGUUUUCCUCUCAAUUAAUAAUAGCAUCACUACUAAACUGAAGAUGGGGAAUGGAGCCUUAGUUGAUGCGAAAUGUAAAGGUACUAUUUCGAUCAACAUGAAAGGAUGCGGCAAGCAGAUUCAUGAUGUUAUUUAUGUUCCUGACUUGGAAGAAAAUUUGCUUAGUGUUGGUCAACUCAUGAAAAAUGGUUAUUCUCUUGUGUUUAAAGAUAAUUAUUGCAAGAUUUAUGAUAAAAUUGAGCCAAAUCAAGUCAUUAUUGAAGUAAAGAUGAUAAAAAGAAACUUCCUUUUGCAAUUUCAUUACAAUGCAUUAAAAAAUGAAAUUGUUGAUGAUUCAUGGCUUUGGCACAAAAGAUUUAAUCACUUGAAUUUUCAUGGUUUAAAGCUUCUCAAGCGAAAGGACAUGGUGCAAGGCCUUCCAGAGAUACACAGUGAGGUUGAUACAUGUGAAAUUUGUAUAAUGGGAAAGCAACACAAGAAGUCUUUUCCAAAAGGGGUGUCUUGGAGAGCAAGUAUAUUUUUGGAACUAAUUCAUACCGACAUUUGUGGACCAAUGAAGACUCCAUCUCUUGGAAGUCAACGGUAUUUUCUAAACUUUAUUUAUGAUUUAUCAAGAAUGACUUGGGUUUAUUUCUUGAAAGAAAAGUCAGAAGCAUUUGCUACAUUCAAGAAAUUUCAAGUCCUUGUUGAGAAGCAAAAAGGUUGCAGCAUCAAAACCAUUCGCAGUGAUCGAGGAGGUGAGUACACAGGUCAUAAAUUUUAAGAAUAUUGCAAAAAUGAAGGUAUUCAAAAGCAACUUACAGCAGGGUAUACUCCUCAACAAAAUGGUGUAUCUGAAAGAAGAAAUAGAACAAUUGUUGAAAUGGCCAGAACUAUGAUAAAUGAGAAAGGGCUGCCAAAAUAUUUUUGGGAAGUAGUGCAUACAGCAGUUCACAUCCUUAAUAGGUGUCUAAAAAAGUCACUAAAGGACAAGACACCAGUUGAAGCUUGGAGUGGAAUUAAACCUUCUGUAAGUCAUUUUAAAAUUUUUGGGUGUAUUUUUAUGCUCAUGUAACUUCUGAGAAAAGAACAAAAUUGGAUGAAAAAAGUCAAAAAUGUGUCUUUCUUGGUUAUAGUGAUGUUACAAAAGGAUAUAGACUUCUCGAUGUCAAAACUAAAAACUUGUUGUUAGAGAGAUGACAUUUUUGAUUAAACACAUGGAAUUGGGAGGAUAAAACGAUAGAGAAUACUGCUAUCAUAUCUUCAAAUCAACAAGAGAAUGAGAAAGAUGAAGAUGUCUCUCCCGUGAGUAACAAAAAUGUUUAGUGACAUUUAUCAAAGAUGUAAUUUUGCCGUUGUUGAGCUAGAAAAUUAUGAAGAAGCAAUAAAGCAUGAUGUUGGAAGAAAGCCAUGGAAGAAGAAAUUCGAAUGAUCGAAAAAAUAAUACUUGGAGCUUGUGGAUAUUCAUAGAGAAAGAGAAGUUGUAAGUCUAAAAUGGAUUUAAAAAAUCAAACUCAAUCAGGAAGGAAAUAUUCAAAAGCACAAAGAAAGGUUGGUUGCGAGAGGCUUCACGCAAAAACCAUGUAUUGAUUUUUAUGGAACUUUGUCUCUAGUUUCUCGUCUUGAGACAACAAGAACUGUAAUUGUUGUUGCUGCACAAAAGAAAUGGAAGAUAUUUAAACUUGAUGUUAAAUAGGCAUUUCUGAAUGGAAAACAUGAUGAAGAGAUUUAUGUUGAGCAACCUCAAUGAUUUUUUUUUCAAGGGGGAGAAAAAAAAGGUGUAUAGACUAAAAAAAGUUCUUUACGGGCUGAAGCAAGCUCCAAGAGCCUGAUACAAUGAAAUUGAUACAUACAUUCUGAAAAAUAAUUUUUAGAGAAGUAAAGGUGAAGACACUUUGUAUGUGAAGAAAGAACAUGGAAGCAUUAUCAUUGUUUGUCUCUAUGUGGAUGAUUUGCUCAUUACAGAAAAUGAUGUAAAGAUGAUGCAAAAUUUCAAACAAGAUAUGAUGCAAGCUUAUGAAAUGAAUGAUCUUGGAUUGCGGAAUUAUUUCUUGGGCAUCGAAGUUUCUCAAGUGAAAGAAGGAAUUUUCAUUUCUCAAAAGAAGUAUACUAAAAGUAUUGUUCAAAAAGUCAAAAUGAUGGAUUGCAGGUGUGUGGCCAUACUAUUAGCAGCAAAUGAGAAGUUUAGAAAAGAUGAUGCAGAAAAGAAAGAUAAUAGCUCAAUUUUUAGGAGUUUGAUUGGAAGUUUGCUAUAUCUUACUUCAACAAAGCCAGAUAUUAUGUUUGUUGCUAGUUAAUUAACCAGAUUCAUGCAAGCACCAAGUCAAGUGCCUUUUGGAGCUGCAAAGCGUGUUCUACGCUACUUGCAAGGAACAAGGGAUUAUGAGAGAAUGUACAAAUUUGGUAGAAAUUUUAACUUAAUUGGUUAUUCUGAUAGUGAUUGGGCUGGAAGUAUAGAUGACAUGAAGAGUACUUCUGGUUAUGCUUUCUUAUUUGGAUCAAGCAUUUGUUCUUGAUUAUCAAAAAAGCAAAGUGUUGUUGCUCAAUCCACUGCUGAAGCAAAUAUUUUUCAACAUCCAAGGCUACUUCUCAAGCAAUUUGGCUUAGGAGAAUAUUUGAAGACAUUGGUGAAAACAAAAAAAGGGGACUGUUCAGUAUUGUGAUAAUAAAUCAGCAAUUGCAAUUUCCAAAAAUCCAGUCAGCCAUGAAAGAUCAAAGCAUAUUUCCAUCAAGUAUCAUUUUAUCCGAGAAACACAAGAGAAAGGCGAAAUUCAGCUGCAUUAUUGUUUGACAGCUGAACAACUUCCUGACAUCUUCACCAAAGCACUUCCUAUAGAAAAAUUUGCUAUCUUCGAGAACGUAUUGGAGUUGUCAAGCAAAUGCACUAAGGGGGAGUGUUGUAAUAAAUUCAUUCAAUGUUAGUCUUCCAAAAUUGUCUCUUAGUUUUUGAAGAAGUCUUUUUAGAAUUUCGUAGUACAUGUAUCUAGUAAAUUGUGAUACAUGUAUUUAGUUAUUUGUGCAAGACUUUAUGUUUUCUAUUUUGAGUAGUAUAAAUAGUGAUGUAGUUGAUGAUUNNNNNNNNNNNNNNNNNNNNNNNNNNNNNNNNNNNNNNNNNNNNNNNNNNNNNNNNNNNNNNNNNNNNNNNNNNNNNNNNNNNNNNNNNNNNNNNNNNNNCCAAAGCUUCUACUCCACAGGCUUUUUCCCUAAUGCUCGUUAUUCUCUAUGGAUUGAUGGAAAACUUGAGCUUGUCGUGGUCCAUAUCAAAUACUUGAAAGGUACAUCUUAUUCCCAUUCCACUUGCCCUAAUGCAAAACAAAAAAAUCAUAGUUGGCCUCCAUUCCCCCUUCUAUGGUUGGCUUCAGUCUCUUGACUAAAGACACCGGGUUUCUCCUUUAUACUUAAGUGAUACUGAUACAUCUGUGUAUAUGGCCUUCUAGUAGAUAUAAGUUAUGUUCCUUUUUAGAAAGAAAUAAAAACAGAAUCAUGUUUCCCGCAGUUUUGGACGUGUUCCCUAAAGUUGUCUAACCAAAGUUGACAUAAGAAAAGAUUAAAGCAUCUUGUGCUGGCCCGGACUGGUGGUUCUUAUUCGAAGUAGCAUUUGCAUGUUUUUUAUGAAAAAAAUGGUUUUGCUAGUGUAGCCUUCGCCUGCUUAAGCAACAUGUCAACAGAAAAAGAAGAAUAUAGAUGCCGGUGGAGUCUACAUUAUUGGAGAUGGUUGUUACUGCCCCAUAUUUGGGAACUCUUAGAAUUUUAGUGUGACCCUUUUAUACCAAAUAUUUGAGGUCCUCCAAGAAACUUUUCAAUCUACAACACCUUAAAAUAUGAGUAACUCGUGCAUGAACAUAGCUCAUUGUUGUAUGACAGUGUGUAAUGCCCAGAGUGUGAAUGGGCCAGCUUUGACCUAUUUAUCAGUGAUAACUAUUGUAAGGGAAUUCUUCAGCUUAAUGGUAUAAAAGUUCAGAAAUGUUGCAUGUUGGCUUGUUGAUAGCGAUUUGCUUUUUACUGUUCUUCACAAGUUGAUUUGCUGAGUAUUUCAAUGACAGGUUCUUGUGGAGGAAAAAAUGCAAGCUUUGCUAUAUCAAGGCACUACAAGCGUUUUGAUGUUUUGUAGAAGCAGAAGCUAAUAAGGCAGCUGCGAAGUUUGAUAAUGCUUCCAUCGACUUCCAGUUGAAUUCUAUAAAAAGGAAGGACUUGCUCCGAUUCCCGGGCUAAACUUCCUAUUACAAGUGGUAAGUGUGUGAUUAUCUUUUUUCUCAUCUUUGUUACGUUCUUCUUGUUAUUCCCUCUCACCAGCUUAAUGUAGCCACCGAUUUCAGUUUGAUAACCAUUUUAACAUACUAUUCAUAUGCAGAUGUCCCUGAGGAUGUGUAAUAAUAAGGAGCACAUUUCCGAUCUCCAAUCUCUUUACUUGUCUUUGGUUUAAUGAAGUGGACCGUUUUACUCCAAGGACCAAAUAAGCUUUGCCAUUGUAAGAGAUAAGAUCAUGUCAAAGACAAAUUGGACUGUGAAUAUGUUCUUUGACUGCGAACGGCGUAACUUUGUGAUUCAGGUGAUCUUCAUAUCUUUACCAUCUGGACUUUCAGUUCAAAACAGCCUUCAUGCACUUGAUCACUUGAAGAUUCACGCAAAAAGUUCAUUUUAUGCUAAUGCUUGCGCCUGAUAUGAUUCAAGUAGAACAACAGGCAAUACGUAAUUGCUAUCACCGUUCCACAUUAUUGAAUUAGAUGAAUUUAUAGUAAAAGCUACUUGUCAAGAUGAGUUUUUCCAUGUACUUCCUGCAUGCUGUAUACCAAACUAUGUAAAUGCUUAUUUCAGUCGCAACGAGCUGUACUCUCUGUUAAAUGCUAGAUAAUAAUCAUCUGUCAUUUUCUUUUGCCAUCUGCAGGGGUAUCACAGAGACAUUCUUGGGCGCCUGACUCCACCUCGUGCAAGUAUACUCGUUCAUCCUCACCUCCUGUAAUUCUUGAAACCCGGCAUACCUCACCAUUUGUUCCAACGUCAACUGUCAUAACCACUCCAAUCAAAAAGAUUCCCACGAAGCGUGGGAGAGAGAGGAAAUCCAAGCG